rnacentral:rRNA from 1 species
CGCGUGGGUAACCUGCCUUAUACAGGGGGAUAACAGUUGGAAACGACUGCUAAUACCGCAUAAGCGCACGGUAUCGCAUGAUACAGUGUGAAAAACUCCGGUGGUAUAAGAUGGACCCGCGUCUGAUUAGCUUGUUGGUGAGGUAACGGCCCACCAAGGCGACGAUCAGUAGCCGGCCUGAGAGGGUGAACGGCCACAUUGGGACUGAGACACGGCCCAAACUCCUACGGGAGGCAGCAGUGGGGAAUAUUGCACAAUGGGGGAAACCCUGAUGCAGCGACGCCGCGUGAGUGAUGAAGUAUUUCGGUAUGUAAAACUCUAUCAGCAGGGAAGAUAAUGACGGUACCUGACUAAGAAGCACCGGCUAAAUACGUGCCAGCAGCCGCGGUAAUACGUAUGGUGCAAGC